UGACCCGUGUGGCUAGGGUUACAAACAGACAUGGGAUAGGUAUCAACUUCUGGUCAACAAGACACUUUAUGAGAAAACCAUAGCAAGUGGCUUUGGCUCAGUUCACUUUCUUCUGGAUGCUUCUGAACAGCAGCAAUACAAGGAAGCCAUAUUGGCUUAUGCAAUCUUGCUUAAAGCAGAGACCGGCCAGGACGUAUGCGAUGCCUUGCUGCAUUGGCUCGUUGGGAAGAGCUUAACAACCUAUGCAAGGAAUAUUGGACCCCUGCUGAGCCAGCUGCUCGACUGGAAAUGGCACCACUGGUUUGUUUUUGGCAUUAGGUGGCUGUUAAAUAUAUUCUUAAGACUCUUACCUAAGAGCAACUCCAACAAGGCUUGAUAUUCCUUCUCCAAAUUUUAGUUAAAAAGUGAGUUCCCUAUUUUAGGGAAUCACUUUUUCAUGAAGCUACUCCAGCACUACUCCUUAUUCUUUCUCUAUUUUUUUGAAAUAUUAUUUUUUAUUAAUUUCUAACUCAAAUAUAAAAAUUUAUAAUUUGAUUGUAAUGGCAGUAUCCAACCUCAACAUAUAGUAAGCAUAUUUACCCUUUUUUAUUCAAAGCGGGGGGACAUCAUUAAUUAUUUCAAAUAGUAAUUGAAUCGGUAGAACACAAACGGCAUCAAUGCAAGAGUUACAUGUUAAUUGAUGUUUAAAUAGCACAACUCACAUUAACAAGAGAGCUAGAUGUCCAGAGGGCAUUGAGCUUUUCAACCAAAAUGUGUCAGCAAAUGGCUAUCAAUAACCAA